rnacentral:sRNA from 1 species
CGACGGUGGGGAAGAUGGCGUACCAGAGCUUGCGGCUGGAGUACCUGCAGAUCCCACCGGUCAGCCGCGCCUACACCACUGCCUGCGUCCUCACCACCGCCGCCGUGCAGUUGGAAUUGAUCACACCUUUUCAGUUGUACUUCAAUCCUGAAUUAAUCUUUAAACACUUUCAAAUAUGGAGAUUAAUCACCAACUUCUUAUUUUUUGGGCCAGUCGGAUUCAAUUUUUUAUUUAACAUGAUUUUUCUGUAUCCUUUAUUAAAUGGGGUCAGCAUCAAAACUUUUUCUUAGGAAGUAAAAAAGUAAGUUGAAAUUUUUAAUCCUGUUAUUUGUUUUUGGUACCAUCUUAGCCGUGAUUUCUGGGUCAGUGGUACAUAAAGUUAGUUGGUUAGGUAGUAAUGUUUUGAAAAUGUUUGUAGGUCACUUUGUUCAAAUGGGAGGUUUUAACCAUAAAAAGAUAGCACUUCUGCUCUUUUGUUACUUACAAAUCUGAUCAAGGGAGGGGAGAAUUGAUUUAAUUGAGGCAUACCUCCACAGUAACACCAACAGGUACAAGGUGGUAAAACAAUCUGAAUACAAUGAUAAUUUAGCAGAAUUUGGGCAUAAGUUUUGGAGUGGGUUCAUGAGGAGUGGGAACUUGAGAUCUCCUUGGGUCCUGGUUGCUGGAACUUCUGGCUGAAAGACAGUGGUUGUGUCUGCUGGGCUUGUCAAGUUCCGGUUUGUUGAAAGGAAAACCCCAGCUCUGAUCCAGUGGCAUUUGGGGCCACGGAGCAGGGCAUUCCUCCUCCAC